GGGGGUGACUUUGGAUUUGAUGGAAGGAAUCCGUACCUCUUGAUAGCCAUUGCUCGAUGAUUGCCUGAGCAUAAACUCAAUCAAGAAAAAAAUGCUAACGCAUGAAAAUCUCUUCUUAAGAGAGCUGAACUUGUAAAAGCUUACGCGUAGUCGUUAGGCACAAGCCAGUUAAAACUAUCCUUGUCGCUGACUCCUACUAGGCACAAGGCGGAUCUGAGUAGGAAACCCAAAACCUUGCUUAAUAAAUUGGAAACCCUCGCUUGUCACUUUGCGCUUCCUUCCUCCUAAGUAAGGCUAAAAAAUAGGUGAAAAAGCUGACUAUAAUGGUAGAGAUCAAGAAGUAUGCCUUUUAGACCGGAGUUCAAUUCUCCGCACCUCCACCA
rnacentral:tmRNA from 1 species